AUAUAUACCACAAAUAAUGAGACUAAAACAUUGCCCUGGGGUACUCCACUUGUCUUUCCCAUCAAAAAUUGUAACAUUCACUUGUACUGUCUGCUUGAUAGGUCUCAAAUAAAGGAACAAGACUUCAGACAAAAGCCAGAUUGGUGAGGAUCAUUGUGCUGGAACAUCAUCAUCAUUUCAUAGACGCCUGCUCCUAGGAGCUGCCACCAGGGGACGGCCACGGCAGAAGAGUUUCCAACUGUAACGCAUCACAGCAAUGCUAGGGAUGCUAACACAGGCCUCCCCACAGAGUAGCAGAGGGCAGAGGGCGGCGUGCGGCCCUGCAUUGCAUCAAAUCAGCUGCCCCAUCACGGCCAUGCCCACGCCCGUCAUUCUGGGCCAAGGAGAACCUCGGGUGGCAGGCAGCAUAGCGGGGGAGGCGGCGGUGCCAGGCCAGGAGGAAUUUGGCGAUGACAUUUACCGUCUGGCGAGGGAGCAGCCGUGGGUGGUGGCAGCAACUCAUCGAGCGGCGUGGAGGAGGGAGCCGCCAGGGUGGACCACGCCUACAGCCUGCACGUCACCGCCCGCCAUGCACUAAGGGCUGUGGGCGUGCAUGACCGCCAACCAAAGACUCAGCCCAGAGGAAGAGCCAGGCCAGCACCACCACAGGGACAGAGGACGAUGAGGAGAGUGUUCCAACGCUGCUCCAACUCAAGGUUCAUAGGCCACACGCUGAGCCCUGCCAAGAUGUCCUGCCAGGUGGUCGGCCUCCACCCCUACACCUCCCACUGGUUCCUCCUGCUGCCCCACUACAAGGAUGUGCCAAGUAUGCCCUCCAGCCUGCAGUCCUUGGAUGAUUGCAAGUAGCGUAAGUUAACAAAAGAGUAAAGUAACAGUUAAUGUCCGCAUGACAGAUGGAGUGAGGUGUGGGUGCAGUAAGGUGACAGGUUACUGGUGCGUGCCUAGUACCGCCGGUAAAACGAGGAUCAAGCCUCCACCUCACCCAUCACCCUCCGCGUGCCGUGGAUUAAGGCCAACCUUAACGUGUGCAUAUCUGGUGAGCUCUGGGACCACCCUGCCCUCCCUCACCCACAGGGAUGAGCUUAUCAAGGAGUGGGCGAAACCCUCCACACUCUGACCUGUGUGUUGGCCCGCCAUGUGUACGCCCUCGGCCUCAGCAGUCUGCCGCUGGAGCGCGUCGGUGAACGGCGACUCGUCAGGAGGGGCUUCACCAAGCGCUCCGGCCUGGAUGUUAGUGCUGAGUGUUGCCUCCCAGAUAGUGAAGUCGGUUAGUCUGAAUUGGUCUUAGAAAUCACUACGUUUACCUCAGUUUACUAAGGAGGAAAUUACACUGAAAUCUAGGCGUCCGGAUUCUGAUGUGCAGGGAUUUGUAAGGGAUGUGAGUGCCUGAGUGUUGCUGUUGGUGUCGUGGAAGUCCAGGAGUCUGAAUUGGUCUGAAAAAUCCCAGUAAAAUUUAUUUUUGCUAACGGGGAUUUUGUAAGCUGAAAUAUAGUUGUCCAAAUUCUGAAAUGCAGGAAAUUCAUAAAAGUAACAAGUGCCAGAGUGCUGGUAGUGAUUCAGUAACAGUCUGUCAGUACAAAUUCCAUUGCUCUGAAGAA